GCCGCGGUGGCACAACCUGGUACUGCGCGAGAUUGCUAAUCUCGUGACCUUCGGGUUUUGUGGGUUCAAAUCCCACCCGCGGCG
rnacentral:tRNA from 1 species